rnacentral:rRNA from 1 species
UGGGGAAUAUUGCACAAUGGGCGCAAGCCUGAUGCAGCAACGCCGCGUGAGGGACGACGGCCUUCGGGUUGUAAACCUCUUUUGGCAGGGAAGAAGCGAAAGUGACGGUACCUGCAGAAAAAGCACCGGCUAACUACGUGCCAGCAGCCGCGGUGAUACGUAGGGUGUAAGCGUUGUCCGGAAUUAUUGGGCGUAAAGAGCUCGUAGGCGGUUUGUCGCGUCUGCUGUGAAAACCCGAGGCUCAACCUCGAGCCUGCAGUGGGUACGGGCAAACUAGAGUGCGGUAGGGGAGAUUGGAAUUCCUGGUGUAGCGGUGGAAUGCGCAGAUAUCAGGAGGAACACCGAUGGCGAAGGCAGAUCUCUGGGCCGUAACUGACGCUGAGGAGCGAAAGCAUGGGGAGCGAACA